GUCUUGGUAGCUCAGCAGGAUAGAGCGACUGCCUCCUAAGCAGUAGGUCGUGAGUUCGAAUCUCGCCCAGGACACCA
rnacentral:tRNA from 2 species